AAAGUUUUAUUCUUGCUUUCUUAUUCACUUUUUCUUUAUAUUAUAUGUAAGUUUUGUAAUACUAAAUGUUCUUUUUGCAGUGAUUUAGUUUAAUUAUCAAGUUAUUUUGGAAUUAGAAAUUGAUUAAGUAUUGGCAUAUUUCGUGCCAGCAGCCGCGGUUAUACGAUUAAUACAAGUGAAUAUUAUUGGUUAUGACAGUUGUUUGAAUUAUUGAUUUUAAAAAUUAAUUUUUAAGGUGAAAUUUAAUUUUAUUAUAUGAGUCUUAUUAUGAAUCUGUGAAAUUUAAAAUAUAAACUAGGAUUAGAUACCCUAUUAUUUUAAAUGUUAAAUUUACUUACCUGGGUAUUAAUAGAUAAGAUCUUUAAACCCAAAGAAUUUGGCGGUAUCUCAUUCCAUUCAGAGGAACCUACCCCAUAAUUGAAAGUGCACGAUUAACUUUACUUAAUUUAUUGGUUUGUAUAUCUCCGUUAUCAGAAGAUCUUCUUGGAGUUUUAAUUUUCUUGAUCUAUAAUUAUAGAAUAUUUCAGGUCAAGUUGCAGCUUAUAAUUAAGUGGAGGUGGGUUACAAUAAAUUUUUAUUUAUUAUGGAAUUAAUAAUGAAAUAUUUAAUGAAGGUGGAUUUGAUAGUAAUUUAAUUUAUUUAAUUUAAUUGAUAUUGGCUCUGAGGUGUGUACACAUCGCCCGUCGCUCUCAUUAUUAAAUGUUUAUGAAUUAAUGUUUAGUUUAGAUGAGAUAAGUCGUAACAUAGUAGAUGUACUGGAAAGUGUAUCUAGUAAGAUUAA
rnacentral:ncRNA from 1 species